UCCCUCUAUAAUAGGAGUAUAAAUAUAUUUUUAUCCCACAUAAUUAUCAUGUUUUAUUUAAUUUAUUUGAUGAUGUGAAUAUCUAUUUGAGCCCAGCUUCCUUCAUUGACCGUACGAUUCACCUUUGUUUGUUAUCUUUUCAAGCACAGUCGCGAGAUCCCUAGUGUGCACAUUCACCUUCAGCCCAUACUUCAUGAAUAGCGUCAGCGACAUCUUCUGCUCCACGCGAUGCCCCAGCGCCACCGUGAGGCGGUGGCGAAGCAACACCGCCGCCGCGAUGGAC
rnacentral:lncRNA from 1 species